UUCUGUAGUUGCUUCCGGACCGAAGGCGGCGUCGAAUUGGUACACCUUGCCGUUUCCGGGGCCUGCGGCUGCUGGACACUCGAGGGUGCAGCAUUUUGACGCAGAAUCGAUCGUUACCACGUUCUGCGCAGGUGAAAAAAAUACGAUAGCUCUUUAAUAGCUGUCAAAGUUGCUGUUUCCAGUAUACCGCAAAGUAUACCGUUUGCAGUAUAUAACGAGAGAACGCGAAGACGCAGAGGGAAUAGAAAAAGAAAAAGGAUAGAGACGCGAAAAGUAACGAGGAUCGGAGGAAGAACGGAAAAGAAAUAAGAGGCUAGAACCAAGAAAGAAGAGCGCAAUGGCGUGUAAUAUCACAUCAUAUCAUGUGUAAUAAUGUAAGAUCGAAGUACAGAUAUAGCGCGAUAUACUGCAGCAUGAAUUAAGGUCACUGUACAUUUACGAAACACCGUCACUUGGAAAAAUAUGUUUUCUUAAGUUCGUAGUGUGCAUGCAUGUAGGUUUCCGUUGUGCAAAUAUUUUUCUGUUUAGUCCAUUCUUAAAAGCGAACUACGCGUAUAAAGGAGGAUAAAUAUUCACAAAUGUUCCUGCCUUUAUUAAUAACAGGGUUUUUGUAAAUUUCAUCUGAGCGGAAUAUCGAUCGAGCAAAAGACUUUGCCUUUCAAAUUAAAACCUAUAACUGCACUCCCGUAAUUUACAAGCAACGCGUGCAACAACGAUUAAAGUUAUUUAAUUUUUUUUAUAAAACUAAUCGAUCGACGUGAUUUAUCAAUCACGUUAUAUCGCGACACUUCUAUACUCGUUAUGCAAAAACUAUCUGUGUAAUGUGGCUAUUAUUUGCAACGUCGGUUUAGCGAUAGUUCGUAGUUCGUACUCGUAUCGAUUGAAUUUCGCGGAAAUAAUAAUAAAACGCGAUUGUCGCUUCUUUCUGUUUCAGUAUUGUAACUAAAUUAUCGAUUCGAGCUUCUUUUCCCAUUUUUCGUCCGAUACGUCGAGUAAAUAAGUUUCGCAGAUAUAAUUAAAAGCCAGCUGCCUGUUAAUUUCAAAUGUAGAUUAGUUUCAAACCAAGUACUCUGAUUAAAAUUUCCGUAGUGACACGUGAUUCAACAACGUUGGUCGAGAGUUAAACCUGAUAUAACAAAGUGAAACUAAAUUACCUUAAAAUUAAAUUAAAAUUGUAGAGCGGGAUACGAUCCAACAAAAUAUUAAUUAACAAUUAACACUUGACAUAAUAAAUACUCUGAAUGCAUCGAACAGCAAAAUAUGAAAUAACGAAUAUUUUUCCUGAUAAUUCCUGUAUCUUAAAUCAUUUUACCUUUCUAUAUGCAUUAUCAAACUUAAUAAAAUUGAACGAAUACAGCGCACGAAUUCUUUCAACAAAGAAAAACAUUCUACACUUCUUAAGUAAUGAAAAACAAACGUAAAUACAAUUAAAAGAACAGAAAACUUUUAUUCUAUCUGUCACGUGUUGACUCGAAGUCCCUUUCCACUUUCAUCGUACGUCGAUCAACGUAGCUCGCAGCUAUGUAUCACGGGCCAUCGUGUACAGUGAGUCGUCAUUAAAUUUACUAUUCCAUAAGAUAUUCAGAAGGUAACGUAGGCACGCUAAGCUGAUCGGUGCAUACACGAUGCAUAGAUAGUGGUAUCGAACCGCGUCGUUGCACACAUCAUUUUACAUGCCUAUAUAUAUGUAUAUAGUUUACAUACGUAUUCACAUGCUUAUCGAUGAAGCGGAAUAUAUGCCAAAUCGAUGGAAAGCCA